CCUACGGGUGGCUGCAGUGGGGAAUAUUGGACAAUGGGCGCAAGCCUGAUCCAGCCAUGCCGCGUGAGUGAUGAAGGCCUUAGGGUUGUAAAGCUCUUUCACCGAUGAAGAUAAUGACGGUAGUCGGAGAAGAAGCCCCGGCUAACUUCGUGCCAGCAGCCGCGGUAAUACGAAGGGGGCUAGCGUUGUUCGGAAUUACUGGGCGUAAAGCGCACGUAGGCGGAUAUUUAAGUCAGGGGUGAAAUCCCGCAGCUCAACUGCGGAACUGCCUUUGAUACUGGGUAUCUUGAGUAUGGAAGAGGUAAGUGGAAUUCCGAGUGUAGAGGUGAAAUUCGUAGAUAUUCGGAGGAACACCAGUGGCGAAGGCGGCUUACUGGUCCAUUACUGACGCUGAGGUGCGAAAGCGUGGGGAGCAAACAGGAUUAGAUACCCUUGUAGUC
rnacentral:rRNA from 1 species